AUGUCCCAGCCUUUGGGAGAGACAGGGGAGAGCAAGACGUGGGCGCUCCAGCUGGAAGCAUUCCUGGAAUGUGCCUUGCGCCAGCGCCGCUGCUGGCGGGGGCAAGGAGUGGGGCUGGCCCCCCAGGGACAUGUGGCAACCAAAGUUUAUCUUUUGGGAGCAGGAGGGAGCCUUUUCUGGCAGUUUUCUCAUAGAGGGCGAUAUUCAGAGAGCGCUCAGAGCUUUGCUAGGCUGCCCCAGCUGAAUGCGCUUGGCAGAUGCUCGGUGCUGUUCUGGGGCUCGGAGGACGCGAGGUGUCUCGCUCACGGCAGAGCCAGCCCCAUCCCACAGCAGCUUCACUGUGAUCGGAUGUGGCGCAAAGCCUUUAAUGUCAGUGAAGGCACAAACUCUGAGCUGCCUAGAGUCAGAAACAAUUCAGAAAGGGUGAACGGUCGUUCGUGAAGCACCUUUCCACAGCUGGAAGAUGCAUCCAAACAAUAAUGGUAUUUAAAAAUAAAAAGGAGAAAGAAAAGAGAAAGCA
rnacentral:lncRNA from 1 species